rnacentral:rRNA from 1 species
CCUACGGGCGGCAGCAGUGGGGGAUAUUGCACAAUGGGGGGAACCCUGAUGCAGCGACGCCGCGUGGGUGAAGAAGCGCCUCGGCGCGUAAAGCCCUGUCAGCAGGGAAGAAAAUGACGGUACCUGAAGAAGAAGCCCCGGCUAACUACGUGCCAGCUGCCGCGGUACUACGUAGGGGGCAAGCGUUAUCCGGAUUUACUGGGUGUAAAGGGGGCGCAGGCGGCGAUGCAAGCCAGGAGUGAAAGCCCGGGGACCAACCCCAGGACUGCUGUUGAAACUGGGUGGCUGGAGUGCAGGAGGGGCAGGCGGAAUGCGUGGUGUAGCGGUGAAAUGCGUAGAUAUCAGGAGGAACACCGGUGGCGAAGGCGGCCUGCUGGACUGCAACUGACGUUGAGGCACGAAAGCGUGGGGAGCAAACAGGAUUAGAUACCCGGGUAGUC